AGAGUUUGAUCAUGGCUCAGAUUGAACGCUGGCGGCAGGCCUAACACAUGCAAGUCGAGCGGUAGAGAGAAGCUUGCUUCUCUUGAGAGCGGCGGACGGGUGAGUAAUGCCUAGGAAUCUGCCUGGUAGUGGGGGAUAACGUUCGGAAACGGACGCUAAUACCGCAUACGUCCUACGGGAGAAAGCAGGGGACCUUCGGGCCUUGCGCUAUCAGAUGAGCCUAGGUCGGAUUAGCUAGUUGGUGAGGUAAUGGCUCACCAAGGCGACGAUCCGUAACUGGUCUGAGAGGAUGAUCAGUCACACUGGAACUGAGACACGGUCCAGACUCCUACGGGAGGCAGCAGUGGGGAAUAUUGGACAAUGGGCGAAAGCCUGAUCCAGCCAUGCCGCGUGUGUGAAGAAGGUCUUCGGAUUGUAAAGCACUUUAAGUUGGGAGGAAGGGUUGUAGAUUAAUACUCUGCAAUUUUGACGUUACCGACAGAAUAAGCACCGGCUAACUCUGUGCCAGCAGCCGCGGUAAUACAGAGGGUGCAAGCGUUAAUCGGGAUUACUGGGCGUAAAGCGCGCGUAGGUGGUUUGUUAAGUUGGAUGUGAAAUCCCCGGGCUCAACCUGGGAACUGCAUUCAAAACUGACUGACUAGAGUAUGGUAGAGGGUGGUGGAAUUUCCUGUGUAGCGGUGAAAUGCGUAGAUAUAGGAAGGAACACCAGUGGCGAAGGCGACCACCUGGACUAAUACUGACACUGAGGUGCGAAAGCGUGGGGAGCAAACAGGAUUAGAUACCCUGGUAGUCC
rnacentral:rRNA from 1 species